rnacentral:rRNA from 1 species
AUGCGGGCCCUUACCCGCUCGGAGCUACAACCCCUUAUAGAUCGGAUCGCGGCGCAACUGCCAACCUGGAAAGCGGCCCUUCUUUGCCGGGCCGGCAGGCUCACGUUGGUGAACUGCAGGCUCUCUGCGAUGCCAAUCUUCCACUUGAUGGCCCUUGACCUGCCGCCAUGGUUUUUCAAGUGCAUUGACAACCUUCGGAGAGGCUUCUUCUGGCGGGGGGUGGAGGAUGCCAAGGGGGGCUGUUGCUUCGUGGCAUGGCAAAUCGUCUGCUUGCCUAAGCCUUAUGGUGGACUGGGGGUGCUCAAUCGGAGGCUGCUCAGGCGCUGCGCCUGCGCUGGCUAUGGCUGCAGAAGACGGCGAUGGACAAGCCCUGGAACGGCUUGA